ACCAGUCCUACGCAUCUUAAGUAAAGGCGUGUGCAGUACAGAACAAAUACAAUUAAAUAAAAAGGAGAGGAGCAUCUGAAAGGAGUGGACAAACUUCCAGGAGGGCGGGUGUAAAUGAGCGUGAAAAAUACAUCUAGGAAGACGAUAAUCGAAGGGGGGGGAUACGGCUUCUACUUGCAGCUUGGCAGUGGCCCACUAUCUCCACCACGCUUUUUUUUUUUUAAAAAGAUCAAUUAUGUUGAUGGCGAAGUUUUCGAAGCUGACUACACCCGUUUUCCACUACACUGCGCCCUACCCGGUUUAAAAAGAAAAAUAAGAAGAGAAAGAGCACAAUGUGUUUCUUGUUAUGCAGCCUGGCUUUUUCCUUUUUUUCCUGUAUGGGUUACAUCGUAAUAUUAAGCUAUGGGCAAUGCGAGGCGAACAACGACAAGCCGUUUGAAAGUCCUUGGUUGUGGUCGGAGGGAGUUCACCCGGCACAUUGCAACCCUCGGUGUCAAAGCAUAUUUACAGCGCAAAUCCUAUAUAAUAUGUACAUGGCAUGUCUACUCAGAAGGAAACCCCACUGAUUUCAAUAAGGCUUAGGACUCCAUACAAGGAUUAACCACUUUGUCCAAUGCAGUUUAAGGUACCAAGAGGACAUCUACAAAUAACUUGCUAAGGCAGAAACUAUCAAGCAUUGAAAUUGAGUAGUAAGAUACCGAUAGAGAGGUUUCACAAGCCAUACAAUCUACUUUAAAUUUAAGCUGCAGUGAGAAUAAACCCCACUGAAUACACUGGGACUGACUUUUGAGUAAACAUGCAUAGCAUUGUACUACAUGUUACAACUGGAAGAUGUAACAUAUACUCUGCCUGUGUCUGGAUUCAUGGCAAACCUAUUCACAUAAUCAAGAUUACAGUGUAUCUGUUUGAAAAAUGCUGUAAAAAUGCCAAAUAUUUGAUCCCCAAUAUUUGGAAAGGGGCUGCUUUCACAAACAUACACUACUAGAGUUUUUGGAGAACAUCCAUUAAAAUCACUAAUGCACACAUAGAGUUUCUCAAUCAAAUAUGAUUUAAUAUUACAGCAAUUUAAAACGGAAUAGAAAAUGCUAGAGGACAUAGUCCAUUGCUAGCCUCAAGUGCAGUAACACUUCAAAAGUAUUUAUGGUAAUACGUUGCUUACCAAGAUUAAUACAAAAGUCAUUGAGUAAAUUUGGUAGUGGAAAUGGUAAAUGUAUAACAAAUACUUUUUAUCACAUGGUGGCCAUCCACAACAAAGCUUCUGUUGCAUUGAUUUCAGUGGGAGAGAUUUAAGCAUGCACUUAAUAUUCCCCUUUAAAUAAACAUAAACCUGAAACUUCAGCUGGCUCGUGCCCAAAGUAUUAGUACAUGUUCAUGGGCCAAUUUGCUAUUGCUUUAACAAUGCUGUCUGUCUGCCUUUUAAGUUGCCGUCCUAUGUAUUUCAAAGCGACUGCAAUAUAUCCUGUCAGCCUGCAUGCUACCUAUGAAAGUCUGUGUUUCUGAUUUAAGUUUUUUCCCCUGAGCAUAUAAUGACAAACUGCAGUAAUAAAAGGCUGUUCUAUUUGCAUAUAGUCUAGUCCAAAAUAAAAACCAUGAAGUAAUGAAGCCUAACUUAGCCAGAAAAAUAUAUAUCAGAAGACCUCAAGCACAAACUAAGGAAUCUAUUCAUUACAGGAAAAUAUUAGAAGACCUUGUUUAAA